UACAGAGGGGGCAAGCGUUGUUCGGAAUUACUGGGCGUAAAGGGCGCGUAGGCGGCCUUCUAAGUCGAACGUGAAAUCCCCGGGCUCAACCCGGGAACUGCGUCCGAUACUGGAAGGCUUGAAUCCGGGAGAGGGAUGCGGAAUUCCAGGUGUAGCGGUGAAAUGUGUAGAGAUCGGGAGGAACACCGGUGGCGAAGGCGGGUCUCUGGGCAUCUCCUGACGCUGAGGCGCGAAAGCGUGGGGAGCAAACAGG
rnacentral:rRNA from 1 species